AGUGAACGCUGGCGGUAGGCCUAACACAUGCAAGUCGAACGGCAGCACAGUAAGAGCUUGCUCUUACGGUUGGCGAGUGGCGGACGGGUGAGGAAUACAUCGGAAUCUACUUUUUCGUGGGGGAUAACGUAGGGAAACUUACGCUAAUACCUCAUACUACCUACGGGUGAAAUCAGAGGAUCUUCGGACCUUUCGCGAUUGAAUGAGCCGAUGUCGGAUUAGCUAGUUGGCGGGGUAAAGGCCCACCAAGGCGACGAUCCGUAGCUGGUCUGAGAGGAUGAUCAGCCACACUGGAACUGAGACACGGUCCAGACUCCUACGGGAGGCAGCAGUGGGGAAUAUUGGACAAUGGGCGCAAGCCUGAUCCAGCCAUACCGCGUGGGUGAAGAAGGCCUUCGGGUUGUAAAGCCCUUUUGUUGGGAAAGAAAAGAAGCAGGUUAAUACCCCGAUGUUCUGACGGUACCCAAAGAAUAAGCACCGGCUAACUUCGUG
rnacentral:rRNA from 1 species